rnacentral:snRNA from 1 species
GACAUUCGUAAUGGUACUCCUAGUUACUGGGAUGGGUUUCAAUUCCCUACAUUGUC